CUGUGGGAGGAUGUGUUGGAGUGAUGUGUGAUUUCUUGUGCCCCGUACUUUGCUCGUUUACGUUUUGUGCCGUGUUCCAUCUUCUUCAAUUAUGGAAUGAUUUAUCCUUGUAAAUUUUUAAGUUAUAGUGCACGCGCAUGUUAAUCGACGGUUGCCAACAUCCCGCAAAACGAUCGACGGAAGGAAAACGGUGUCCGGUUUUAAAAUAUCAAGGGUUCAUCACAGCUUUUUCGUAGAAGAGCGCACUUCAAGGACGCCUAGGAUACGGCUAAAAAUGCGCAGCACCAGUCCGUGACGUCAUUUCCAGACAGGCGCCGGCUGAACACGCGCAGCACCAGUCGAGGAUAUCCUAAUGCAGAGGGUAGAAGGAAGAACGAGAGGAAGGGUAACAAAAAGCAACCGCAGCAUUUGGAAGGGGUGAAGUAUCCAGCCGUAUACAGAGUGUGAGUGUUCCAAAACGUAUGUGGAAAGAGUAACACCAAUAAAUAGCAUGCGAAAGUGUGCAUAAAG